rnacentral:miRNA from 1 species
UAUGUGAUCGGUCCCAGUGCC